CCAAUUAGGGCAAUUGCAUUGGCCCCUUUACAUUGAAGGCUGAACCAAUGCAAUCUGAAAGGAUAAAAAAAAAAUAAAGGUCGUACCCAGUGCACAAGGCUCCCGCUUUACGCAGGGUCUGGGAGAGGUGAAUGUCGACUAGCCUUACCCCCAUUUAUGGAGAGGCUGCUCCCAAGUCUCAAACCCGAGACCUACCGCUCAUGGGCGAAGGCACUUGCCAUCGCACCAAGAAACAUGAAACAUGAAAGCUCGGUACCAUCUUUACUGAAAACAGUAAAAAGGAGUAACUAAACUUACGCCCUUAAGAACUAUAAAAAAAUGCCUCAUCAAACAUAAAACUCCACUUACUGAUAUGAGAUGAUUUGAGCUACCAAAGGAAAACUCUACUUACUGGGCAUAUCCAAAUGUCAUCCUUAAGAUCAAAAUAAUUCC
rnacentral:lncRNA from 1 species